UGGCUACCAACAGUUUUAUGCCCUACCCAU
rnacentral:piRNA from 1 species